GGUAGUUUCACUGUGAAGUGGAAUGGAUAUUCCUGUCAUGGUUCAUGCUUAGAAGGCAAGCUCACUUCUCUCUUUGGUUGCACCAGUGCAGUUAUUUCCAUAUGUGUCAACACAAUUUAUACACAAUUUUGGUUUUUGUCUCUGAGUCCAGUCUGCCGGGAUCACCUCCCUGUGGCACAGGAAACAACAGUAAACACACAGAAAGGAAGACAAAGAUUGUCAAAAAAAAAAGAAAAUACAA